rnacentral:rRNA from 1 species
UACGGGGGGGGGCAAGCGUUGUUCGGAAUUACUGGGCGUAAAGGGCUCGUAGGUGGCCAACUAAGUCAGACGUGAAAUCCCUCGGCUCAACCGGGGAACUGCGUCUGAUACUGGGUGGCUUGAAUCCGGGAGAGGGGGUGCGGAAUUCCAGGUGUAGCGGUGAAAUGCGUAGAUAUCUGGAGGAACACCGGUGGCGAAGGCGGCAUCCUGGACCGGCAUUGACGCUGAGGCGCGAAAGCCAGGGGAGCAAACGGG